GAUGAAGAACGUAGCGAAAUGCGAUACGUAGUGUGAAUUGCAGAAUUCAGUGAAUCAUCGAAUCUUUGAACGCACAUUGCACCUCUCGGUAUUCCGGGAGGUAUGCCUGUUCGAGCGUCAUUUGUACCCUCAAGCUCUGCUUGGUGUUGGGUGUUUGUUCCGCCUCUGUGUGUGAACUCGCCUCAAAACAAUUGGCAGCCGGCGUACUUGUUUCGGAGCGCAGCACAUUUUGCGAUCCAGAUCAACGUACAGCGGCAUCCAUGAAGCCUUAUUUAACGCUCUUGACCUCGGAUCAGGUAGGGAUACCCGCUGAACUUAAGCAUAUCAAUAAGCGGAGGA
rnacentral:misc_RNA from 1 species